AUUUCAAGUGCUUCAUUGAAUAACGUAUUUCAAAUGAAAAGAUUAAUUACAUAUCAGUACACGUGUCUAUUUCAUUUAGUCAGAAGACUUCUACAGUGUUAUUCAAAGCCACUUUCACAGAUUUGCAUCUAAGCGCCAUUGCUGAGAGUUCUCUCCCUCCCCCAAUCCUCAGCAAAAAUACAUCAUGUUGGCUUUGUUAAUGGUGAAAUAUUUAGUACACUUAACCUCAGUUUCUUUUAGUGUUUUGAUGACUGCUGCCCUGCUUUCUUGCCAUGAUGAAGUGCUGGGGCUGGAGCUCCUUGUCAGAGGACUUUGCAAUAUGAAGUGAGCAGGUGCAGCCCACAGGGGCUGUGUAACCAAGGUGCUGCCAUCUGGUCUAGGGCAGAAACCUGCUGAACCCAGUAUCCUGGUUUCAAAGCAAGGAGAAGUUGCAGCGAGUUUUAUACUGAGCAUGUGAGAAAUAGGAGGGCUGUUCCCAAAGUAAUGCCUCCUGUUUUGUAAUGUUGGCACAUGACAUCAGAGGCGGAUGUUGGUGGUAUGGCAGUAGAGGCUGAACCUUCCCAUCGACAUCCUGUUACCUGUUGUUGCCAUGUGACAGAUGGCAGCAGAGGGGCAGUCUGACAGAAUGGCAUCUGACACUGAAAUGUGUAUGAAGCAAUGGAGUGUCACUGAGUUCCUUCGUGUGGAAAAAAAAACGGUACCCACUGACAUUCAUCAUAGAAACACAGAAUCAUAAAGUUGGAAAAGACUUAAGAUGAUCUUGAUCUGAACCUGGGGGAGGUUCAAGCUGGAUAUCAGGAACAAAAUUCUUCUCCAAAAAUGUGGUGAGGCAUUGCAACAGGCUGCCCAGGGAGGUGGUGGAGUCACCAUCCCUGGAGAUGUUCAGGGAAAGGAAAUGUGGCACUGAGGGACGUGGUCAGUGGGCACGGUGGGGAUGGGCUGAUGCUUAGACUAGAUAGAUGAUCUUAGAGGUCUUUUCCAGUGUUAGUGAUUCCAUGAUUCUAUGUUUCUAUGAUUCUGUGUUUCCCUAUUCUGGCAAGGAGAGCAGUGGCACAGUGUGAUGGGUAACACGGGGUUUUAUGGCCAAGUGAAAUAAUGGAUGUUGGAGUGGAGGUUACAGUGUAAACAUGCACUCAGAUACCAGAGUAAUGAACAUAGCAUAAAUAUUUAGAUGUGUUCCUACAUCUAAUUCUUGGCCUCAUAAUUCUCGUGUCAAAUAGUUUAUAAAAGGCAAAACUGUAUUUCAGUUACAGGUUCGGCUUCAUAAUUCUUAAGGUUAAUUAAGGCAGCCAAAUGUGCUUCAUGCCUGUCUGCUGUGGCUGUGUAGCUGUACAGAGUUGUGUAUCAUUAAAGGCUUUUCCUAUCAGUGACUGUAACAACAGUGACUAUCAGCACAUAUGUAUCUUAGUGUUUAGCCUAGGUGACAAGCAGCAGCAAUGUGCACUGUCCCUAUGUCUCAGAUAAACAUAAUGUCACUUGUGUGUAUGCAGCAAGUAAAGGAAGAGUUAAUGACGGCUUUAGAUCCUGAUACAUGAUGUGAACACAACUGGAACACAGGUAGCACAGAAACAGUGUGUGCCCCGAUGCCAACCUGUGCCUACUCCUCCCUCCUUCAGCUGCCCCUUGCUGUGCUCUCUGGGGACAGUGAAUAUCUCCCAGGCUGGGGCUGGCAGGGAGCAGGAAUAUCUCUGGUAGGGCUGCAUGGACAGGCCAGCAUCACACCACAGGGCAUCUCCUGGGGCCUGAGGCUGGGCUGCUCCUGAUGUCUCAGUGCCUCCUACUUGGGAUUAGAUGAGUGCCAGUGUUUUUAAGGAUGGCAAGGAGCCUUAUCGAGCCUCUACAUCUGCCCCAGAUGCUUUACAUUCCAGUGAUGUGCCACAGAUGUGCUGAACCCUACAGCACAAAGACUACAGCAUCUCACUGUCCCCAGGGCCAGCAGUUGCUGGUAGGCUCCAUCCCAGACACAGUGGACAGGAGCAGCGUCGUUGCCAAAGAUGUCCCAUGGAGUCAAUAGCAGGUGACACAGCCCUGCCCCUCACCUGUGUCAGCUGGACCACGCGUUGGGUGCCUCCUGUGCAGGGAACAGCAAAGUUCAGGCAAACAGAAGGGAGAGGAGGAGUGUUUUCCAGCCUGGCAGCUCUGAGAGUGCAUUGAGAGUCCAUCGUUGGGUUUCAGCUUGAGUUGCUCUGCAGUGGGGCGUGCCCUGGGGAGCAACCUGCUCCCAAAGGACUCAAUAAUUCAGCAUAUCAUCCUCCCAAGUGCUGGUGUCUCUCACCCCAGUGUUUCACCACUUCAUCGCUGCAUCAACGCAAUUCAUGCCCCAUCACUCUAUCUCCCAUUUCUUGGUGUUGCGCCCUUUUGGGGCUUCUUUCUCUUUAAGAGGAAACUCGGCGGAAGCCGAGCUAUUCAAUAUUGUUUCGUAUUAUUUGGUUGUGAAACAAUUUAAUUUGUUUAUGGCUCUAAAGGUCAGAUUUGACUGUUACCCAAAUUUCUGAAGAAUAAAGAAUGAAUCAGGCUGAAGGGGACUUUGUGGCAUGAUAAAACGGAGAAAGAGAAGGGGGCUAGUGAGAAUAUUUAACUGGAACAGCAAGGCAAACUUACCUUCAGCUCAGGUUUAAAAGCCUAGUCAAUCAUUAGACAUUUUUUAUUAUUUACCUGGUACAAAAUCCCCCCAGGAGAAGAAGUAGAAAAACUCACAGGCCACAUUCUUGCAAAUUUUAGUAGCUUGCCCAACAUUUUUUUUUUUUUUUUUCUUUUUCUUUUCUGUGAUUCAGAACAAUUUGAGUGGUACAGAUCACAUAGGUGCAUUCACAGAUCAGAAACAAGGAGGAAGCGCACGGUGGUUGCGGAUCCAAGCAGGGGAUGUUUGUAACAGUGAUGAGAGCAGGGCCAGCCCGGGACUUUGAGAAGGAAGGUGAUUCUCACACAGUGAGCAGAAGACAAAGGUUGCAUUUACACCUGGCCAGAGGUUUAAUCAUCUACCAUUUCCAAACAUUGCAGGCUCACAGUCUGUUGUGUCUGAGAUCAUAAAACAUAUCACAAACUGGAGACAAGAAAGCUGGGGCUUGAUUGACCAGAGCUUAUCUUUUCUUUUUCCUACUUCUUAUUUUUCACUCAAUUUUCUGAUUAAAAAAAAAAAGAAAGAAAGAAAGAAAGAAAGAAAGAAAGAAAGAAAGAAAGAAAGAAAGAAAGAAAGAAAGAAAGAAAAAAAAGGAAAAGAAAAAAAGAACAAGAGAGAGAAAAAAAAGCAUUUUCAAAAGGACUUGUGAUCCCUAAAUGCUUACCUGAUACAGCAGAAAACACGAUGCAAAGUAAUUCUGAAAACCAGGGAGGAUUUCUAUUCCUCUCUGCCUCCCCACUCCAGGUGCUGGGGAGCCCACCUGGCUGCCCAAAGCUCCAUCCCAGGUUUUCAGGGAGAAGAGAAACUGAGGAAAAGUGACCAAAAGGUGGAGAGAAAUAUUCAAAGAGGAAUGGGUAGAAGCCUCUCUCAUGGAUUAGUUUUCCAGGUCCUAACAUAACAACAUCCAACACUGAACCAUCUGAACCUGAAUCUGUAGGCAGCUUUCGUCUUUUUUUUGGUGUGUGGAUGUUUGAAUUAUGGCAAUGUUUUAAGGAGAAUCUGGAUGUGAUGGGAGGGGUUUUUUUUGUUUUUUUUUUUUGAAACGUUUGCAGCAUUUUUGCACUUCUUGUAUGCAGUUGGUUUCUUCUGAUCUCGUAGCCCAGCACUGCCAGUGAGGCUGGCAGGUCUGUUGGGCAAGACCAGUGACUCCCAUGGCAAAGAGAAGCCAUUGCUGUUUCCUUCUCCUGAUGGCCUCUGCAGGGUCAUUGCCCUUAGCUGAGCAACUGCAGCCAGGCUGUGGGCAGGAGCGGGGACUUAAAGCACAUGGGGUUUCCCACUGAUAGUUGUGAUGGGCUGUAGGAGUGUGGAAUGACCAGGGCAUGGCCACAGCUGUCAUCCCUCCUGAGGGCUGGGCCUGCGGUGUUCAGGAGGGACCUGGAAGAGGGGAUGUUCCUUUGCACCUCAUUUGGGUGCUUCAGUGCUGAUUCAUCAAAGCACUUAGCGCCAGGAGGAGGAACCCGCCCUGUUGGGAUGAAGGUUUGCACUGCUGACUUCAAAGGGGGCCCGAUUUAACCCUUUAACUUCAGUGGGGUUUGGGACCCUGUUUGAAGGUAAGCACAUGAUACUGCAGGGUUGGAAGGGGACAUAAAUACCUUGAAGGUCUUGAGUGUCAUCAUCAUGGUGCCUUUGUGUGUGUUCUGCCUGCCAGCUCUGUAACCACUUCAGAAAACGGGGUGGGAGCAAUGGGAGCUUCCCCAAGACAAGCUCAUCAAUCAAAGCAGGAUGGAGGGCCAUCUGCCCCUGGCAUGGCCAGGUGCCCUCAGGGUGUCCCUUGCCUUCCUGGGGCUGCCCUCGACCUGAUAAGGAGAGUGACAUCUUUGAUGUCACCUGGGGCAGCAGUCACACACAAUUGCAUAAUCAAGGUCGCAGGAAAAUUACACAAAACUUUGCCCACAUCUAUUGGAAAAAUCUGAAGCACUUGCAAAAAGAAAAAAAAAAAAAAAAGAAGAAGAAAAAGAAAAAGAAAAACCCUAACCCCAAACUCCUAUCCAUGCCACCACGCUGGAUGGAACGCUGCAGUGCUGAGCUUUCCCUUUACCAUACCCUAGAAGUUUUAAUGAAAAAAUGUAAUAUGGGCAUAAAGGCAAUUAAAAGUUCUCACUGACAGCCACAUGAACUCAGCUCUGUGGUUUUCCCUCUCUCCCCUUCAGAUAAAGUUUCAAUUACACCAUGAUAAUGUGUGAAUAUAAGACGCAAUCAUCUCAUACUUCGCAUUGCUGAGUGCUGUCUGUCUGAGGAUUUUAAGGGGUGAAUUGGGUUUCACGUGCCCUCAGGAGCUACCGAGUAUUUGCGAGGCUGCUUGCAAAAAAUGAAAUAGCUACUUUGAGAAUUUGUACAUGAAAAUAAUGAGAAGAAUUUUCGGAAUGUGUCUUGGAGAAAUUUCUGCUCUUCCGUCUUCCCCAUGUUGAUAAAAUUUACAUUGAAAAUCACUUCCCCCCU
rnacentral:lncRNA from 1 species